rnacentral:lncRNA from 1 species
AGGAGCUAUCGCUUACUUCCGGUAUACUUCCGGAAAAUUUGCAUGAAACUAACAAGUGAGCUUUGUUCUCUGUAAAAUUCUAAAGAUUCCAUGCUAAUUUAAGCAAAGAGAAAUGGUCUUUUUGAUUACUUUUAUGACUUGUGACUAUCUAAGGCCAGUCCUUUAGAAAUUGAGUUUUGAACGUGUCAAAUAGAUGGCGUGAAAGAAUGUUGUUUGUUGUGUCACAUAUGGGUUAAUGGCAGUUCGUUGUCAAAAGUUCAGCUACAGCUAUCUUCUUCGUAAAUUACCAAUGAAUUCGUUGGAAAAAAUGUGAAAGGUGCAUGAAGCCAGUACCAUCAACUAUUGUGUUAAAAAUCCUGGUAUCCUACGGAAUAUGUCAUCCAAAUGACAGAGUGGAUUCAUCACUAUUAUCGGCUGAAUCAUUCUAUGGGACUUGCCAGAUCACCAACCCAAGCAUGGACCAAUUUCUCAUUCCAUCUUCUAGAGAAUCUUACAUAACUGAUUGGUGGUUUAGUGUGUUUUAGGUUUCUAAUGUAGCAUGAUAGACUUUAUGAGAAGUCAUGUUAUUUGAAGAAAAAGGACUAUACAGUCGACAAGGUUUUUUGCUAACCCGUUGGCUGCUACCCUUGAAUCUCCCUGUUUACUUCCUUACACAGGUCCUCUUGAUUUGAGGGUAAUCCUUCGCUACUGAUCAUACACCCACUUGUGAAAACCGACAAGAGAAUGCUGUAAUUCAAGACUGAUACAUUGUGUAGUUGUUAGAUAAA